rnacentral:rRNA from 1 species
UGGGGAAUAUUGCACAAUGGGCGCAAGCCUGAUGCAGCCAUGCUGCGUGUAUGAAGAAGGCCUUCGGGUUGUAAAGUACUUUCAGUCGGGAGGAAGGUGGUAAGGUUAAUAACCUUGGCAAUUGACGUUACCGACAGAAGAAGCACCGGCUAACUCCGUGCCAGCAGCCGCGGUAAUACGGAGGGUGCAAGCGUUAAUCGGAAUUACUGGGCGUAAAGCGCACGCAGGCGGUUGAUUGAGUCAGAUGUGAAAUCCCCGGGCUUAACCCGGGAAUUGCAUCUGAUACUGGUCAGCUAGAGUCUUGUAGAGGGGGGUAGAAUUCCAUGUGUAGCGGUGAAAUGCGUAGAGAUCUGGAGGAAUACCGGUGGCGAAGGCGGCCCCCUGGACGAAGACUGACGCUCAGGUGCGAAAGCGUGGGGAGCAAACAGG